GGAGUCUAGCAUGUGCGCGAGUCAUUGGGAAUCACUAAACCUAAAGGCGCAAUGAAAGUGAAGGUCCGCCUUGCGCGGACCGAGGGAGGAUGGGCCGCGACACGUUGCGGCCUCGCACUCCCGGGGCGUCUCGUUCUCAUUGCGAGAAGAGGCGCACCCAGAGCGUACACGCUGGGACCCGAAAGAUGGUGAACUAUGCCUGGUCAGGACGAAGUCAGGGGAAACCCUGAUGGAGGUCCGUAGCGAUUCUGACGUGCAAAUCGAUCGUCGGAACUGGGUAUAGGGGCGAAAGACUAAUCGAACCAUCUAGUAGCUGGUUCCCUCCGAAGUUUCCCUCAGGAUAGCUGGCGCUCGCGUAGCGAGUCUCAUCCGGUAAAGCGAAUGAUUAGAGGCAUUGGGGUCGAAACGGCCUCAACCUAUUCUCAAACUUUAAAUGGGUGAGAUCUCCGGCUUGCUCGAACGUGAAGCCGUGAGAUUUUCUCAAAGGAUCAGAGUGCCAAGUGGGCCACUUUUGGUAAGCAGAACUGGCGCUGUGGGAUGAACCAAACGCAGAGUUAAAGCGCCUAAAUUGACGCUUAUGGGAUACCAUGAAAGGCGUUGGUAACUUAAGACAGCAGGACGGUGGCCAUGGAAGUC
rnacentral:rRNA from 1 species